AACGAACGCUGGCGGCAUGCCUAACACAUGCAAGUCGAACGAGACCUUCGGGUCUAGUGGCGCACGGGUGCGUAACGCGUGGGAACCUGCCCUUAGGUUCGGAAUAACUCCCCGAAAGGGGUGCUAAUACCGGAUAAUGUCUUCGGACCAAAGAUUUAUCGCCUUUGGAUGGGCCCGCGUUGGAUUAGCUAGUUGGUAGGGUAAAAGCCUACCAAGGCGACGAUCCAUAGCUGGUCUGAGAGGAUGAUCAGCCACACUGGGACUGAGACACGGCCCAGACUCCUACGGGAGGCAGCAGUGGGGAAUAUUGGACAAUGGGCGAAAGCCUGAUCCAGCAAUGCCGCGUGAGAGAUGAAGGCCUUAGGGUUGUAAAGCUCUUUUACCCGCGAUGAUAAUGACAGUACCGGGAGAAUAAGCUCCGGCUAACUCCGUG
rnacentral:rRNA from 1 species